GAUGAACGCUGGCGGCGUGCUUAACACAUGCAAGUCGAACGAUGAAGCCCAGCUUGCUGGGUGGAUUAGUGGCGAACGGGUGAGUAACACGUGAGUAACCUGCCCUUGACUCUGGGAUAAGCCUGGGAAACUGGGUCUAAUACUGGAUAUGACUUCUCAUCGCAUGGUGGGGGGUGGAAAGAUUUAUUGGUCCUGGAUGGACUCGCGGCCUAUCAGCUUGUUGGUGAGGUAAUGGCUCACCAAGGCGACGACGGAUAGCCGGCCUGAGAGGGUGACCGGCCACACUGGGACUGAGACACGGCCCAGACUCCAACGGGAGGCAGCAGUGGGGAAUAUUGCACAAUGGGCGCAAGCCUGAUGCAGCGACGCCGCGUGAGGGAUGACGGCCUUCGGGUUGUAAACCUCUUUCAGUAGGGAAGAAGCGAGAGUGACGGUACCUGCAGAAGAAGCGCCGGCUAACUACGUG
rnacentral:rRNA from 1 species